GUUUCUAAGAUCUGAGAGUUUACUUUGCUUUCAACAAAAUGAACAACAUUUUUUUCACUUUUGCUGCCAGAAAUUUAAAAAUAGAAUUUGUAUGAUUCGAUUUCUUAAGAAUUCUGCAUCGCACAAGUCAAAAAGGAAGAAAAUAAGUUCAAAGCUAAUUUUAUUUCAAGGUCAGAAUAAAAAGUGAACUUUUAUUAUAUAACAUUCUCCUACUCUAUCAACCUGAUUGGGAAAUUUCUCAGAACACUUGGAAAUAUAAACUGCUCAAUUGAGUUCACUUAAAAAAAAGAAUUCAACUUACCUCAACUAAAUUCACCACCCUUUCAAGCAAUAUCUUCUCACUAAGCUCUAUCGUAAUCUGGAAGUAAAACAAAAAUUAAAUUUAGAUUUAAGUGAUAAAAUUGAAUCAAAUUGUAUAAAUAUUAGAAUUUAAAUAUAAUUCUAUCAGCAGUUUAUUUUAGCGUUGGUUAUAGAACAAAUUCUCUUCAUGGCUUUUCAAAGCGAGCUGGGUAAGUUGUGUCAUCAUUGUAAAAUUAAAUAUAAAACACAAAGAUAAAUGUAUGCACAUACACUGCCGCUCAUCUCAAUAGGUUCAAUAGCAAAAAUUGCAGUUUAUGUUGAGUUGCGUGUUAAUUGUAAUCGAAAUUUUAUCUGUCAAUAAAGUUAGUGUGUUUUUCCUAUUAACUGUAAAAAAAAGGGUCGCGGAAAAUCUUUAAGCGAGGAAGAAAAACGCAAAAUAACGACAUUUCGGGAAUCAGGCCUAAGCCAACGACUUAAAGCGAAGAAAUUCAAAAGAGGUCAAAAUUUGGUAGGCAGUUACUUGCGAUAUAUCCAAAAUUAUGGACAAAAAAAAUGAAAGGAGGAACUUAUACGGCCUUAUCAAUGGCUGAUAGACGUGCUAUCAUCAGAACAGCUUCUAAUUCUUAU